AUUGAACGCUGGCGGCAGGCCUAACACAUGCAAGUCGAGCGGAUGAAGGGAGCUUGCUCCUGGAUUCAGCGGCGGACGGGUGAGUAAUGCCUAGGAAUCUGCCUGGUAGUGGGGGAUAACGUCCGGAAACGGGCGCUAAUAACGCAUACGUCCUGAGGGAGAAAGUGGGGGAUCUUCGGACCUCACGCUAUCAGAUGAGCCUAGGUCGGAUUAGCUAGUUGGUGGGGUAAAGGCCUACCAAGGCGACGAUCCGUAACUGGUCUGAGAGGAUGAUCAGUCACACUGGAACUGAGACACGGUCCAUACUCCUACGGGAGGCAGCAGUGGGGAAUAUUGGACAAUGGGCGAAAGCCUGAUCCAGCCAUGCCGCGUGUGUGAAGAAGGUCUUCGGAUUGUAAAGCACUUUAAGUUGGGAGGAAGGGCAGUAAGUUAAUACCUUGCUGUUUUGACGUUACCAACAGAAUAAGCACCGGCUAACUUCGUG
rnacentral:rRNA from 1 species